GCGCCUGUAGCUCAAUUGGAUAGAGCACAGACCUUCUAAGUCUGUGGUUGCAGGUUCGAGUCCUGCCAGGCGCG
rnacentral:tRNA from 1 species